rnacentral:rRNA from 1 species
UGGGGAAUUUUGGACAAUGGGCGAAAGCCUGAUCCAGCAAUGCCGCGUGUGUGAAGAAGGCCUUCGGGUUGUAAAGCACUUUUGUCCGGAAAGAAAUCCUUGGCUCUAAUACAGUCGGGGGAUGACGGUACCGGAAGAAUAAGCACCGGCUAACUACGUGCCAGCAGCCGCGGUAAUACGUAGGGUGCAAGCGUUAAUCGGAAUUACUGGGCGUAAAGCGUGCGCAGGCGGUUUGCUAAGACCGAUGUGAAAUCCCCGGGCUCAACCUGGGAACUGCAUUGGUGACUGGCAGGCUAGAGUAUGGCAGAGGGGGGUAGAAUUCCACGUGUAGCAGUGAAAUGCGUAGAGAUGUGGAGGAAUACCGAUGGCGAAGGCAGCCCCCUGGGCCAAUACUGACGCUCAUGCACGAAAGCGUGGGGAGCAAACAGGAUUAGAUACCCUGGUAGUCCACGCCCUAAACGAUGUCAACUAGUUGUUGGGGAUUCAUUUCCUUAGUAACGUAGCUAACGCGUGAAGUUGACCGCCUGGGGGAGUACGGUCGCAAGAUUAAAACUCAAAGGAAUUGACGGGGUCAUAGCUG